rnacentral:rRNA from 1 species
CAGCCGCCGCGGUAAUACAGAGGGUGCGAGCGUUAAUCGGAUUUACUGGGCGUAAAGCGUGCGUAGGCGGCUUUUUAAGUCGGAUGUGAAAUCCCUGAGCUUAACUUAGGAAUUGCAUUCGAUACUGGGAAGCUAGAGUAUGGGAGAGGAUGGUAGAAUUACAGGUGUAGCGGUGAAAUGCGUAGAGAUCUGGAGGAAUACCGAUGGCGAAGGCAGCCAUCUGGCCUAAUACUGACGCUGAGGUACGAAAGCAUGGGGAGCAAACAGGAUUAGAUACCCGGGUAGUCCCUGUCUCUUAUAC